CGCAGCAUCACGGGAGAGCGUCACGUCAGGUGGCCGCCGAAGGAGCAACACCUCCUCGUCAAACUCUCAGGCACCCAGGACCGCGAUACUGAC
rnacentral:ncRNA from 2 species